AUGAACGCUGGCGGCGUGCCUCAUACAUGCAAGUCGAACGAAACUUCUUUAUCACCGAGUGCUUGCACUCACCGAUAAAGAGUUGAGUGGCGAACGGGUGAGUAACACGUGGGCAACCUGCCCAAAAGAGGGGGAUAACACUUGGAAACAGGUGCUAAUACCGCAUAACCAUAGUUACCGCAUGGUAACUAUGUAAAAGGUGGCUAUACUACCGCUUUUGGAUGGGCCCGCGGCGCAUUAGCUAGUUGGUAGGGUAAAGGCUUACCAAGGCAAUGAUGCGUAGCCGAAUUGAGAGGUUGAUCGGCCACAUUGGGACUGAGACACGGCCCAAACUCCUACGGGAGGCAGCAGUAGGGAAUCUUCCACAAUGGGCGAAAGCCUGAUGGAGCAACGCCGCGUGGGUGAAGAAGGUCUUCGGAUCGUAAAACCCUGUUGUUAGAGAAGAAAGUGCGUGAGAGUAACUGUUCACGUUUCGACGGUAUCUAACCAGAAAGCCACGGCUAACUACG
rnacentral:rRNA from 1 species